CUACCAGCCUUUCAACAGAUCACCCAGGCCAGGGAUCUGGGGCAGGGUCUGAGGCAGAACCCGCCCUUCUACCCGGCGCCAUACACCCCUUCCGAAGACCAUCCCCAACAGCUCCUCCAACGCCUCUCCAAGGACGCGGACCCGCCCCUCGCGGCCUCCAGGCCCCUCCGCAGCCCAUCGCCUUUACCCGUCCCGAGCGGCCGGGGAGGGCUUGCGGUGCCACAACUUGCCGCUCUCCUUGUUGCCCAGCCAAUAUGGAGGCGCGUUUCCUCCCAACUCCGCCCAAGCGACCCCUGCCGCUCUGGACGAUGGAACCGGCCAACGACCUUCUCUUAGAUCCCACCCCUUUUAGAGGUUCACCCCACCAGCCCCGGGGCCCAAAGCCUUCUGGGAAUUGUAGUUUUCUGCGUGUGGAUCCGGGGUAUCAGCGAUCGGCUUGAGAACUCUGCAUUCCGAGGGCGCCGUGGGGUUUUAGGCUCCCGGUGGAAGCAAUAAAAAUGGUUUUCUCCUGUG